rnacentral:rRNA from 1 species
AGUGAACGCUGGCGGUAGGCCUAACACAUGCAAGUCGAACGGCAGCACAGUAAGAGCUUGCUCUUACGGGUGGCGAGUGGCGUACGGGUGAGGAAUACAUCGGAAUCUACUUUUUCGUGGGUGAUAACGUAGGGAAACUUACGCUAAUACCGCAUACGACCUACGGUUGAAAGCAGGUGAUCUUCGGACCUUGCGCGAUUGAAUGAGCCGAGGUCGGAUUAGCUAGUUGGCUGGGUAAAGUCCCACCAAGGCGACGAUCCGUAGCUGGUCUGAGAGGAUGAUCAGACAAACUGGAAGUGAGACACGGACAAGACUACUACGGGAGGGAGCAGUGGGGAAUAUUGGACAAUGGGCGCAAGCAUGAUCCAGCAAUACCGAGUGGGUGAAGAAGGCCUUCGGGUUGUAAAGCCCUUUUGUUGGGAAAGAAAAGCAGCAGGUUAAUACCCCGCUGUUCUGACGGUACCAAAAGAAUAAGCACCGGCUAACUUCGUG